ACGAACGCUGGCGGCGUGCUUAACCCAUGCCCGUCGAACGGAAAGGCCCUGCUUUUGUGGGGUGCUCGAGUGGCGAACGGGUGAGUAACACGUGAGUAACCUGCCCUUGACUUUGGGAUAACUUCAGGAAACUGGGGCUAAUACCGGAUAGGAGCUCCUGCUGCAUGGUGGGGGUUGGAAAGUUUCGGCGGUUGGGGAUGGACUCGCGGCUUAUCAGCUUGUUGGUGGGGUAGUGGCUUACCAAGGCUUUGACGGGUAGCCGGCCUGAGAGGGUGACCGGCCACAUUGGGACUGAGAUACGGCCCAGACUCCUACGGGAGGCAGCAGUGGGGAAUAUUGCACAAUGGGCGGAAGCCUGAUGCAGCAACGCCGCGUGCGGGAUGACGGCCUUCGGGUUGUAAACCGCUUUCGCCUGUGACGAAGCGUGAGUGACGGUAAUGGGUAAAGAAGCACCGGCUAACUACGUG
rnacentral:rRNA from 1 species